GAUGAACGCUGGCGGCGUGCCUAAUACAUGCAAGUCGAGCGAACAGAUGAGGAGCUUGCUCCUCUGACGUUAGCGGCGGACGGGUGAGUAACACGUGGAUAACCUACCUAUAAGACUGGGAUAACUUCGGGAAACCGGAGCUAAUACCGGAUAAUAUAUUGAACCGCAUGGUUCAAUAGUGAAAGACGGUUUUGCUGUCACUUAUAGAUGGAUCCGCGCCGCAUUAGCUAGUUGGUAAGGUAACGGCUUACCAAGGCAACGAUGCGUAGCCGACCUGAGAGGGUGAUCGGCCACACUGGAACUGAGACACGGUCCAGACUCCUACGGGAGGCAGCAGUAGGGAAUCUUCCGCAAAGGGCGAAAGCCUGACGGAGCAACGCCGCGUGAGUGAUGAAGGUCUUCGGAUCGUAAAACCCUGUUAUUAGGGAAGAACAAAUGUGUAAGUAACUAUGCACGUCUUGACGGUACCUAAUCAGAAAGCCACGGCUAACUACGUG
rnacentral:rRNA from 1 species